rnacentral:misc_RNA from 1 species
UACGAAGGGUGCUAGCGUUGUUCGGAAUUACUGGGCGUAAAGCGCACGUAGGCGGACUAUUAAGUCAGGGGUGAAAUCCCGGGACUCAACCCCGGAACUGCCUUUGAUACUGGAAGGCUUGAUUCCGAGAGAGGUGAGUGGAAUUCCGAGUGUAGAGGUGAAAUUCGUAGAUAUUCGGAAGAACACCAGUGGCGAAGGCGGCUCACUGGCUCGGUACUGACGCUGAGGUGCGAAAGCGUGGGGAGCAAACAGG